rnacentral:rRNA from 1 species
UAACACGUAAACAACCUGCCUUCAGGAUGGGGACAACAGACGGAAACGACUGCUAAUACCGAAUAAGUUCCAAGAGCCGCAUGGCCCAUGGAAGAAAAGGUGGCCUCUACCUGUAAGCUAUCGCCUGAAGAGGGGUUUGCGUCUGAUUAGCUGGUUGGAGGGGUAACGGGCCCACCAAGGCGACGAUCAGUAGCCGGUCUGAGAGGAUGAACGGCCACACUGGAACUGAGACACGGUCCAGACUCCUACGGGAGGCAGCAUG